rnacentral:tRNA from 1 species
GGAUGUGGCUCAUAUGGUAGUGCACUUGCCUGACAUGCGUGAGGCACUGGGUUCAAUUCUCAGCACCA